rnacentral:rRNA from 1 species
UCGUCGGCCCCGCGCCGGCGACUCGCCGAAUGAGUUUCUGACCUAUCAACUCGAGACGGCGGGGUAGAGGCCCGCCGCGGUAACGACGGGUAACGGGGAAUCAGGGUUCGAUUCCGGAGAGGGAGCCCGAGAAACGGCUACCACUUCCAAGGAAGGCAGCAGGCGCGCAACUUACCCUAAUCUCGAUUCGAGGAGGUAGUGACAAGAAAUACCGAUGCGGGACCCUACGGGUGCCGCGUUCGGAAUGAGUACGAUUCGAACCACCUAACGAGGAACGAUCGGAGGGCAAGUCUGGUGCCAGCAGCCGCGGUAAUUCCAGCUCCAAUAGCGUACGUUAAAGUUGCUGCAGUUAAAAAGCUCGUAGUUGAACGUUCGGGUUCCGCGGGACGGGGCCGCCCGCGAGGACGGCGCCGCCCGGGCGUCGUGAUAUCUUAUCUCGCCGCCCGUCGCGAGGCGGACGGAGGGA